rnacentral:lncRNA from 1 species
AUCCCUUCACUGUACAGCUUUGUUGAUGAAAUGUGUAAGAAAGGAUACCACUGUCAGUAUGGAGGGAAACAACCUUAAUGCUUACAAGGAGGUGGAGAUGUCAGAUUCCUCUUCACCUCCAAGUCACCAUGACAACAAACAGCAACAUGAAAGGGGUGACAGUAUGGAUGAAAGUGACUGAAAAAAAAAUUGCAAAUCAAGGAGACAUCUUUGUUUUUUCUCCGACAUCAGAUGUGAAGGCUGCCAGGUUAAAAGAUUGACACAGUUCCUGCAGAGUUACAGAAAGCUAUGGAAUCUGAAAGAUUGUGGAAGACUACGAGUGAUGCUAUUGUAUCUCAGGAAAUGCAUCGGACUACACAGGAGUCCAUACUGGAAGAAGACAAAGGGAG